GUAAAGAAUGAAGGAAAUGAAGGAACAGGAGGAGAAGGAGAAAACAAUGGAAGGAAAGGAAGAAAAUGAAGAAAGAAAGGAAGAGAGGAAGAAAAAUAUAGCAAGGAGAAAAGAAAUAUGGAAAGAAAUGGAGGUAAAGAAGGAAGGAAGGAAAUGAAGGAACAGGAGGAGGAGGAGGAGGAGGAGGAGAACCACCACCCACCCACAAUCACCACUCAUCAAUACGUAAAUCACGGUGCAGCUCGCAACUCAAAAAACCGAAACUCAAGCUGCUCGUAACGGAUUGUGAUGUCGAGUAUAAUUGCGUUCGUGUGUACCGGGCAGCUAAAAACAUGUCACAAAUUUUUCCUAGGGUAACUAUUGUAUUGGGUUAAGUUACGUCAGAAGAAGGCGAGACUGUUUUAGUGUUAAUAAGGGAUGCUGAAAGGGACUGGGGAUGGAGUCUUGCUCAAGCUUUGGGCUCCUCCGCUAAGGGAUAUCUCUUACGGAACAACCCAAUGAGCAGGUGCGGCUUCUGGGUAGCAUGCCACGUGCCCGUAUAGCUGGAGUUUGCCUUGACGGACACUGCAGGUAAUACAUGUCAAAUUAGUCGCAUGGAAUAGUCGCCGGUCUGAUUUAAAGUCAUUCCAGCGAUAUCCCGUGAUUCUGCCGAGACGUUUAUCACCAAGGCAUUGAUGUUGUGUUGGUAAAUGACCGAGAAGGAAGUGGGAAGUAUAGGUGAAUGAAUCUUGUGUUAGUUUAUAAGUAUGUGGUGCUGGAGGGACUUGAGGAUGAAGAAAGGGAGACUGAAGUGUGUUUGGGUCCUUGUGUGAGGUUAAGUUAUGCUAGGAAGGUUGUGAAAAAAGGAAGGAAGGAAGGAAGGAGAUUUGCUAUGGAGGUUGUGAAGAUGAAGAUGAAGGAAGGAAAGGAAGGAAGGAGAUUUGGUAUGGAGGUUGUGAAGAUGAAGGAAGGAGAGGAAGGACGGAAGGAAGAAAAGAACGAAGGAGAUUUGGUAUGGAGGUUGUGAAGAUGAAGGAAAAGAAGAGAAGGAAGGAAGGAAGGAAUGAAAGAAAGGAAGCAAGGAAGAAAGAAAGAAAGGAAGGAAGGAAGGAAAUGUAGCUUGGAGGCUGUGAAAUGUGAAAACGAAGGAGAGAAAACAGAGUAGGAAGAAAGAAAGAAGGAAAAAGAAGGAAAAGAAAGAAAGAAAGAAGAAAAACAAGAAAGAGUUUGAAGGUGAAAAAGACAAACGAAAACAGAAAGAAAGAAAGAAAACAAAACAAAAAUGGCGCACAGGAGUAACAAAAAACCACAUUCAAUAUUGCACAAAAAAAAAAAAAAAAAACAUUACAAUUAUUAUUACUAUUAUUAUUAUUACAUUGUUACUCUAUGCAUAUGGUUGUGAGAGAGAGAGAGAGAGAGAGAGAGAGAGAGAGAGAGAGAGAGAGAACGAAGGAAGCAAGAAACAGAACCAGUGUGUGUGUGUGUGUGUAUGUGUGUGUGUACGUAUAUAUGUGUGUGUGCGUGUGUGUGUGUGUGUGUGCGUAUAUCCCAGCCAAGCCGUCGAUUAUUUAAAAUUUUUCGUUUCUGCCGUAAAGAAAAAUAUCGAAUCGGAAAAAAGGAAAAUUAGAAGGAAAAGAAAGGAAAUUAGAAGGGAAAACAGGAAAGGAAAAGGAAAAUUUGAAGAAAAAGAAAGGAAAUUAGGAGGGAAAAAAGGAAAUAAGGGAAAAAAUUGAAUAAGAGAGAAAAAUAUCGAAUCGGGAAAAAGGAAAAUCAUAAGAAAAAGAAAGGAAAUUAGAAAGGAAAAAAGGAAAACCAGGAAAAUAAGUGAAGGAAAUGAAUAACAGAGAAAAUAAA